UGGGAUGUGGCUCAGNUGGUAGAGUGCUUGCUUAGCAUGCNUGAAGCCCUGGGUUCAAUUCCCAGCACUGCAU
rnacentral:tRNA from 1 species